rnacentral:rRNA from 1 species
GACGGAGGAUGCAAGUGUUAUCCGGAAUCACUGGGCGUAAAGCGUCUGUAGGUGGUUCAAUAAGUCAACUGUUAAAUCUUGAGGCUCAACUUCAAAAUCGCAGUCGAAACUAUUAAACUAGAGUAUAGUAGGGGUAAAGGGAGUUUCCAGUGGAGCGGUGAAAUGCGUAGAGAUUGGAAAGAACACCAAUGGCGAAAGCACUUUACUGGGCCAUUACUGACACUGAGAGACGAAAGCUAGGGUAGCAAAUGGG